AAGCCGCGGGGUUAAGUUUUCACGUUGAGUGGGCGGAGCGAUGUCAUGUAUGUUGUUUAGCACGAACGUUAUAAGGGUGCGGUUUGCGUCUCAUAAAAAUGGAAACACUCUCAAUAAACAUCACAUCAUAUAACACUUCAUAUAACAGCAAUAUGAACAUGCAGCCCCGUGAGAUGAUCUUAAUGAAUCCUGCUCCGUCUGCCAGCAUCGUGAAAUUGCUGCGAGGGUGCACAGAGUAUCAGGUGGACGUGUGCGUGCAGGCGGGGUCAGGAAGCAAACAGUUGAGUUUCAGAGCCAGUUUUGACAAACAAAGGCAGGGCGAGCAGGGAUGCUAAUGCACUGAGUCACGGGGUACACUUCCCCUGACACACCAGAGCAGGUACAGGAGGAGAACCGACCUUUGUCCCCUGGCUGGUGGCGGCGAGGAAUGCGUGGUGAUGUCAGUCACUUGUGAAAAAGGUCACUGCGAAGAGGAAGCUCCUUCUCCUUCCUCACCCCUGGACCACAAUGGGACUUUAGUCUGAAGCGGAAGCGCAGGGAGAAGGAUGACAGCGAUGCAGUCAGCCUCUGCAGCUUCGACUUCAAGG